GAUGAACGCUGGCGGCGUGCCUAAUACAUGCAAGUCGAGCGAACAGACGAGGAGCUUGCUCCUCUGACGUUAGCGGCGGACGGGUGAGUAACACGUGGAUAACCUACCUAUAAGACUGGGGUAACUUCGGGAAACCGGAGCCAAUACCGGCUAAUAUAUUGAACCGCAUGGUUCAAUAGUGAAAGACGGUUUUGCUGUCACUUAUAGAUGGAUCCGCGCCGGAUUAGCUAGUUGGUAAGGUAACGGCUUACCAAGGCGACGAUGCGUAGCCGACCUGAGAGGAUGACCAGCCACACUGGAACUGAGACACGGUCCAGACUCCUACGGGAGGCAGCAGUAGGGAAUCUUGCGCAAUGGGCGAAAGCCUGAUGGAGCAACGCCGCGUGAGUGAUGAAGGUCUUCGGAUCGUAAAACUCUGUUAUUAGGGAGGAAGAAAUGAGUAAGUAACUAUGCACGUCUUGACGGUACCUAAUCAGAAAGCCACGGCUAACUACGUG
rnacentral:rRNA from 1 species